UGUACGUGGAGGAUCGCAGCUUUUGAUUUUGAGCGAGGCAACAGAGCGAAUGAACUGGUAAAGCCUGCCAUACCGAUGCUGCUUGCGGUACACCACCACCUUAUUCAGAACGGACUUCGCGCGUCAGCAUCUCUGAUACUGCCCAAUGCUUUUGUACACAGACUUCUUGGCUUAUGGUGACGACAGAAGGGGCGCGGCAACAGAAACUUUAACAAGCCAAUUAAAAUGUUAGUAUGCAGGUCGACAAUUGUCUCGAUAUGGGAAUUCUCUUGUAUCAAGGUGUCGAAGCUUCUCCACAGAGCAGUUCGUGAGAAGAAUGAGAGCGCGUACGCUGUAUAUGAGUUACCGACUGUAGAUGAUUUUCUUGAACGUCUUAACUUGAUUUAUAGGUCCUUCGAUCAAGAAUUUCGCCUCACUUAUUUCUCCUCCAGGCUAAUGUAGAGAUCAUUCAUGUCGGUGGACUUGGGUUGACGAGCGUGCUAAAAUUUUAUCAGCUCCAGCCAGGGCGAGCGCACAAUGUGGUACUGUAUUUCCUUUUUCGAUGGAUUUACGAACGUUCCAAAGAGAGGAACAUUUGAAGAGGCAAAACCAGAAGACGGAGGUGGGAUUUGUCCUUUUUUUCUCUUCACUGUUUGUGUUGUCCAGUAACAA